UUAAGCGACUAAGCGUACACGGUGGAUGCCCUGGCAGUCAGAGGCGAUGAAGGACGUGCUAAUCUGCGAAAAGCGUCGGUAAGGUGAUAUGAACCGUUAUAGCCGGCGAUGUCCGAAUGGGGAAACCCAGUGCAAUUCGUUGCACUAUCGUUAACUGAAUACAUAGGUUAACGAGGCGAACCGGGGGAACUGAAACAUCUAAGUACCCCGAGGAAAAGAAAUCAACCGAGAUUCCCCCAGUAGCGGCGAGCGAACGGGGAGCAGCCCGGAGUCUGAAUCAGCUUGUGUGUUAGUGGAAGCGUCUGGAAAGUCGCAGGGUACAGGGUGAUACUCCCGUACACUAAAGCACACAGGUUGUGAACUCGAAGAGUAGGGCGGGACACGUGGUAUCCUGUCUGAAUAUGGGGGGACCAUCCUCCAAGGCUAAAUACUCCUGACUGACCGAUAGUGAACCAGUACCGUGAGGGAAAGGCGAAAAGAACCCCGGCGAGGGGAGUGAAAAAGAACCUGAAACCGUGUACGUACAAGCAGUAGGAGCCCACUAGUUGGGUGACUGCGUACCUUUUGUAUAAUGGGUCAGCGACUUAUAUUCUGUAGCAAGGUUAACCGUAUAGGGGAGCCGCAGGGAAACCGAGUCUUAACUGGGCGUUAAGUUGCAGGGUAUAGACCCGAAACCCGGUGAUCUAGCCAUGGGCAGGUUGAAGGUUGGGUAACACUAACUGGAGGACCGAACCGACUAAUGUUGAAAAAUUAGCGGAUGACUUGUGGCUGGGGGUGAAAGGCCAAUCAAACCGGGAGAUAGCUGGUUCUCCCCGAAAGCUAUUUAGGUAGCGCCUCGUGAACUCAUCUUCGGGGGUAGAGCACUGUUUCGGCUAGGGGGUCAUCCCGACUUACCAACCCGAUGCAAACUACGAAUACCGAAGAAUGUUAUCACGGGAGACACACGGCGGGUGCUAACGUCCGUCGUGAAGAGGGAAACAACCCAGACCGCCAGCUAAGGUCCCAAAGUCAUGGUUAAGUGGGAAACGAUGUGGGAAGGCCCAGACAGCCAGGAUGUUGGCUUAGAAGCAGCCAUCAUUUAAAGAAAGCGUAAUAGCUCACUGGUCGAGUCGGCCUGCGCGGAAGAUGUAACGGGGCUAAACCAUGCACCGAAGCUGCGGCAGCGACACUAUGUGUUGUUGGGUAGGGGAGCGUUCUGUAAGCCGUUGAAGGUGGCCUGUGAGGGUUGCUGGAGGUAUCAGAAGUGCGAAUGCUGACAUAAGUAACGAUAAUGCGGGUGAAAAACCCGCACGCCGGAAGACCAAGGGUUCCUGUCCAACGUUAAUCGGGGCAGGGUGAGUCGACCCCUAAGGCGAGGCCGAAAGGCGUAGUCGAUGGGAAACAGGUUAAUAUUCCUGUACUCGGUGUUACUGCGAAGGGGGGACGGAGAAGGCUAUGUUGGCCGGGCGACGGUUGUCCCGGUUUAAGCAUGUAGGCGGAUGUUCCAGGUAAAUCCGGAACGUCACUAACGCUGAGGUGUGAUGACGAGGCACUACGGUGCUGAAGUGACAAAUGCCCUGCUUCCAGGAAAAGCCUCUAAGCAUCAGGUAACAUCAAAUCGUACCCCAAACCGACACAGGUGGUCAGGUAGAGAAUACCAAGGCGCUUGAGAGAACUCGGGUGAAGGAACUAGGCAAAAUGGUGCCGUAACUUCGGGAGAAGGCACGCUGAUGGUAGGUGAAGUGACUUGCUCAUGGAGCUGAAAUCAGUCGAAGAUACCAGCUGGCUGCAACUGUUUAUUAAAAACACAGCACUGUGCAAACACGAAAGUGGACGUAUACGGUGUGACGCCUGCCCGGUGCCGGAAGGUUAAUUGAUGGGGUUAUCCGUAAGGAGAAGCUCUUGAUCGAAGCCCCGGUAAACGGCGGCCGUAACUAUAACGGUCCUAAGGUAGCGAAAUUCCUUGUCGGGUAAGUUCCGACCUGCACGAAUGGCGUAAUGAUGGCCAGGCUGUCUCCACCCGAGACUCAGUGAAAUUGAACUCGCUGUGAAGAUGCAGUGUACCCGCGGCAAGACGGAAAGACCCCGUGAACCUUUACUAUAGCUUGACACUGAACACUGGUCCUUGAUGUGUAGGAUAGGUGGGAGGCUUUGAAGUGUGGACGCCAGUCUGCAUGGAGCCAUCCUUGAAAUACCACCCUUUAAUGGCUGGUGUUCUAACGUGGGCCCCUAAUCGGGGUUGCGGACAGUGUCUGGUGGGUAGUUUGACUGGGGCGGUCUCCUCCUAAAGAGUAACGGAGGAGCACGAAGGUCAGCUAAUCCUGGUCGGACAUCAGGAGGUUAGUGCAAUGGCAUAAGCUGGCUUGACUGCGAGCGUGACGGCGCGAGCAGGUGCGAAAGCAGGUCAUAGUGAUCCGGUGGUUCUGAAUGGAAGGGCCAUCGCUCAACGGAUAAAAGGUACUCCGGGGAUAACAGGCUGAUACCGCCCAAGAGUUCAUAUCGACGGCGGUGUUUGGCACCUCGAUGUCGGCUCAUCACAUCCUGGGGCUGAAGUAGGUCCCAAGGGUAUGGCUGUUCGCCAUUUAAAGUGGUACGCGAGCUGGGUUUAGAACGUCGUGAGACAGUUCGGUCCCUAUCUGCCGUGGGCGCUGGAGAAUUGAGGGGGGCUGCUCCUAGUACGAGAGGACCGGAGUGGACGCAUCACUGGUGUUCGGGUUGUCAUGCCAAUGGCAUUGCCCGGUAGCUAAAUGCGGAAGAGAUAAGUGCUGAAAGCAUCUAAGCACGAAACUUGCCCCGAGAUGAGUUCUCCCUGACCCUUUAAGGGUCCUGAAGGAACGUUGAAGACGACGACGUUGAUAGGCCGGGUGUGUAAGCGCAGCGAUGCGUUGAGCUAACCGGUACUAAUGAACCGUGAGGCUUAACCUU
rnacentral:rRNA from 2 species